rnacentral:rRNA from 1 species
GAGUUGUAAACUGCUUUUGUACGAGGGUAAACUCACCUACGUGUAGGUGACUGAAAGUAUCGUACGAAUAAGGAUCGGCUAACUCCGUGCCAGCAGCCGCGGUAAUACGGAGGAUUCAAGCGUUAUCCGGAUUUAUUGGGCUUAAAGGGUGCGUAGGCGGUUUGAUAAGUUAGAGGUGAAAUCCCGGGGCUUAACUCCGGAACUGCCUCUAAUACUGUUAGACUAGAGAGUAGUUGCGGUAGGCGGAAUGUAUGGUGUAGCGGUGAAAUGCUUAGAGAUCAUACAGAACACCGAUUGCGAAGGCAGCUUACCAAACUAUAUCUGACGUUGAGGCACGAAAGCGUGGGGAGCAAACAGGAUUAGAUACCCUGGUAGUCCCACGCAGUAAACGCAUGAUAACUCGUUGUCGGCGAUACACAGUCGGUGACUAAGCGAAAGCGAUAAGUUAUCCACCUGGGGAGUA